GACGAACGCUGGCGGCGUGCUUAACACAUGCAAGUCGAACGGAAAGGCCCUGCUUUUGUGGGGUGCUCGAGUGGCGAACGGGUGAGUAACACGUGAGUAACCUGCCCUUGACUUUGGGAUAACUUCAGGAAACUGGGGCUAAUACCGGCUAGGAGCUCCUGCUGCAUGGUGGGGGUUGGAAAGUUUCGGCGGUUGGGGAUGGACUCGCGGCUUAUCAGCUUGUUGGUGGGGUAGUGGUUUACCAAGGCGUUGACGGGUAGCCGGCCUGAGAGGGUGACCGGCCACAUUGGGACUGAGAUACGGCCCAGACUCCUACGGGAGGCAGCAGUGGGGAAUAUUGCACAAUGGGCGGAAGCCUGAUGCAGCAACGCCGCGUGCGGGAUGACGGCCUUCGGGUUGUAAACCGCUUUCGCCUGUGACGAAGCGUGAGUGACGGUAAUGGGUAAAGAAGCACCGGCUAACUACGUG
rnacentral:rRNA from 1 species